AAUGCAAAAUAACAGAACCUAUUCGAUCUUUCGUCGAUACAAUGGCUAAGUUGUACCACACCGAGACACUCAUCGUCUUCUUCUGCGCUUUUUUAUUAAGCGUCACGGCAAGUGGCCAACAUCCGAAUCACUUAUUGCCGCAAACGAAAGACGGCACAAUAAAUCUUCGUUUAGAAUACGAAACUUUGAAAACUCGUUUUGAGGAGUUUGUUGGUUCCGUUGAGAUUCAGUUUGACCGCCUGAGAGAGGAAGUCCCGACAGUUAAAAACAAAUAAGGCUACCGAAAAGAAUUCACAUACAAGUGUCGCCUCUAUAGGUGUAAUUCCAAGAUCUUGUCAUGAAGCCCGAUUGGCUGACCCUUCAUUGUCCAACGGCGUUUACUGGAUCGAUCCCGACGGCCAAAAUGUGGAGACGACCCCAUCCAAGUAAAUUGCGACAUGUCCUCAGGAACGACAAUUAUUGGACACGACACCGAAGCAUCGACAAACGUCGGCCAUUGCACGGAACCCGGGUGUUAUACGAGACCAAUCGUGUACCAAGCAUCACUAAAACAGAUCAUAGCCCUUACACAACUUUCAUCAGAUUGUCGGCAGUCAAUUAAGUACGAGUGCUAUACUCAGCUCCACUGCAGUUUGAUGGCAUCGAAUAUUCCUGGUGGAACGACCGGAACGGUAACGAGCAAUAUUACUGGCACGGAAACGAUAAUUCCACACACACGUGCCUGUGCGGAAUCGGAAAAAUCUGUGUCGAUCCUAGCAAAAACUGCAACUGUGACGCGAUUGUUCCCGUCGACUUGGUCGACGAAGGUGAGAUAACUGCGAAGGAAAGUAUGCCCAUCACACGUUUGAAUUUUGGAAGAACGAUCCCUGCAGCGUCGAGUGCAUUCACACUUUAGGAAAAUUGAAAUGCUCCGGCCAGAAGUUGGUCGACGGAAUGCCAACCUCUUGCGUGGAAUUGUGGCAGAUCGGUCAUGUCCUCAACGGCUUGUACUUGAUCAAGGGCGCGUCUCAAGUGGAAACAGUAUAUUGUGACUUUAGCAAAACUUCAACCGACGCAGGAUUUGAAACGUGGAUUGGCUUUGCUGAUGUCAAAUCAUCAUCUGUUUAUUUUUAUGUACAGAGGAAUACGACUUACUCAACUAACAACACUGUCGUUCCAUUUGAAAUCACAAGAACUAAUGUGGGAAAUGCCAUGGACCCUUUAACUGGAAUAUUCACAGCACCAAGACCGGGGAAAUAUUUUUUCGGUUAUUCUGGAAUUGCUGAUGUCACUCAAGGAACCAAUUUUGCACGCGUUGAUUUACAGUUGAAUGGUGUAAGGAUUGCACAAGGAUAUAGUCACACCACUCAUGAUACAUUUGCACACCAAUCCACUUUGGAGCUGAAUAAAGGAGACCAAAUAACACUGUUCUUGGUAGCCGGAGCUAUUCACGACAGCCGUUAUCUCUACACAAAUUUUGUCGGCUGGUUAGUCGAAGAAGAUGUGUUCAACUUCAAUGUGUAGUGAUAGCUGACAUAUCAUCAUACCAAAAAUCCAGUUGUGAUUCGGAUAGAUUCCUUGCGAUUCCUCGCGAUUCCUCUAUAGUAAAUUGAGUAGAAAGUUUGCUUCAAAUUUUUUAAUGGUUACUGUAACUGACAUAGGCUAUUAUACGAUUGAAAAAUAAUACAAUAAAUCAAGUGUU